rnacentral:rRNA from 1 species
AUUGAACGCUGGCGGCAGGCUUAACACAUGCAAGUCGAGCGGUAGCACGGGGGAGCUUGCUCCCUGGGUGACGAGCGGCGGACGGGUGAGUAAUGUCUGGGAAACUGCCUGAUGGAGGGGGAUAACUACUGGAAACGGUAGCUAAUACCGCAUAACGUCGCAAGACCAAAGAGGGGGACCUUCGGGCCUCUUGCCAUCAGAUGUGCCCAGAUGGGAUUAGCUAGUAGGUGGGGUAAUGGCUCACCUAGGCGACGAUCCCUAGCUGGUCUGAGAGGAUGACCAGCCACACUGGAACUGAGACACGGUCCAGACUCCUACGGGAGGCAGCAGUGGGGAAUAUUGCACAAUGGGCGCAAGCCUGAUGCAGCCAUGCCGCGUGUGUGAAGAAGGCCUUCGGGUUGUAAAGCACUUUCAGCGAGGAGGAAGGUGGUGAGCUUAAUACGUUCAUCAAUUGACGUUACUCGCAGAAGAAGCACCGGCUAACUCCGUG